ACUACGUGCCAGCUAGCCAGGAUGAGUACAUAGCGGUGCUAGCAUCACUCGGACCUACUGGGGCGUCAUAGCGUGCGCAGGUAAGGUCAGGUAAGAUCACGACGUGGAGAUCCACCCGGGCUCAAUCCUGGUGCAGAAGCUUCUGCGGACUGGACAGCCUGAGGAGUGAUGAGCAGAGAGGUGCGCUAGUAGUUAGCACGUUGUAGCAGUGAAUUUGUGUAGAGAUCAUGGAGGAAUGACCGACGGCGAAAGGCAUCUCCUUGUGACAAUGACUGCACGCUAAUGCAGGAGAGCGAUGGGGGAGCAAACUAGGAUUAGAUAUCCUAGGUAGUACACGCUCGUACAACGAUGUCAUCUAGUUGUUGGGGAUUCAUUUCAUUAGUAAGCGUAGAUAACGCGUGAAGUUGGCCGCCUGGGGAGUACGGUCGCAAGAUUAGAACUCAAAGGAAUUGACGCGGACCCGCACACGCGGUGGAUGAUGUGGAUUAAUUCGAUGCACCGCGAAAAACCUUACAUACCCUUGACAUGGCAGGAACUCCGCAGAGAUGCGGAGGUGCCCGAAAGGGAGCCUGCGCACAGGUGCUGCAUGGCAGUCGUCAGCUCGUGUCGUGAGAUGUUGGGUUAAGUCCCGCAACGAGCGCAACCCUUGUCACUAGUUGGUAAGAAAGGGCACUCUAGUGAGACCGCCGGUGACAAACCGGAGGAAGGUGGGGAUGACGUCAAGUCCUCAUGGCCCUUAUGGGUAGGGCUUCACACGUCAUACAAUGGUCGGUACAGAGGGUUGCCAACCCGCGAGGGGGAGCCAAUCCCUGAAACCCGAUCGUAGUCCGGAUUGCAGUUUGCAUUUGGAUUGCAUGAAGUCGGAAUCGUUAGUAAUCGCGAUUCACACAUGUCGCGGUGAAUACGUUCCCGGGUCUUGUACACACCGCCCGUCACAUCCACUGGAUAGUGGGUUGCACCAGAAGCCGUCUGUCGCUAACCGCAAGGAAGGCGGCG
rnacentral:rRNA from 1 species